AUACGUAGGGUGCAAGCGUUAAUCGGAAUUACUGGGCGUAAAGCGUGCGCAGGCGGGUUUGUAAGACAGAGGUGAAAUCCCCGGGCUCCACCUGGGAAAUGCCUUUGUGACUGGAAGGCUAGAGGACGGCAGAGGGGGAUGGAAUUUCGCGUGUAGCAGUGAAAUGCGUAGAUAUGCGGAGGAACACCGAUGGCGAAGGCAAUCCCCUGGGCCUGUACUGACGCUCAUGCACGAAAGCGUGGGGAGCAAACAGGAUUAGAUACCCUGGUAGUCCACGCCCUAAACGAUGUCAACUGGUUGUUGGGUCUUCAUUGACUCAGUAACGAAGCUAACGCGUGAAGUUGACCGCCUGGGGAGUACGGCCGCAAGGUUGAAACUCAAAUGAAUUGACGGGG
rnacentral:rRNA from 1 species